AGUGGCGGACGGGUGAGUAACGCGUGAACAAUCUGCCCUGUACAGAGGAAUAGCCUCGGGAAACCGGGAUUAAAACCACAUAACACUUUUCUUUCGCAUGAGAGAGAAGUCAAAUUGAUUAAGAGGUAUAGGAUGAGUUCGCGUCUGAUUAGCUAGUUGGUGAGGUAAUGGCUCACCAAGGCGACGAUCAGUAGCCGGCCUGAGAGGGUGAACGGCCACACUGGAACUGAGACACGGUCCAGACUCCUACGGGAGGCAGCAGUGGGGAAUAUUGCACAAUGGAGGAAACUCUGAUGCAGCGACGCCGCGUGAGUGAAGAAGGUCUUCGGAUCGUAAAACUCUGUCCUUGGUGAAGAUAAUGACGGUAGCCAAGGAGGAAGCCCCGGCUAACUACGUGCCAGCAGCCGCGGUAAUACGUAGGGGGCUAGCGUUGUCCGGAUUUACUGGGCGUAAAGGGUGAGUAGGCGGUUGCAUAUGUCAGAUGUAAAAGGCACAGGCUUAACUUGUGUUAGCAUUUGAAACUGUGCGACUUGAGUGCAGGAGAGGUAAGUGGAAUUCAUAGUGUAGCGGUGAAAUGCGUAGAUAUUAGGAGGAACACCAGUGGCGAAGGCGACUUACUGGACUGUAACUGACGCUGAGUCACGAAAGCGUGGGUAGCAAACAGGAUUAGAUACCCUGGUAGUCCACGCU
rnacentral:rRNA from 1 species